CACGUACUGUGCGAACGUUAUUCGGAAUCACUGGGCUUAAAGGGUGCGUAGGCGGCCCUGGUAAGUCUGCGGUGAAAGCCCGGGGCUCAACCCCGGGUCGGCCGCGGGUACUGCCGGGCUGGAGUGCCGUAGGGGCAGGCGGAAUUCCGGGUGUAGCGGUGGAAUGCGUAGAGAUCCGGAAGAACACCGGUGGCGAAGGCGGCCUGCUGGGCGGCGACUGACGCUGAGGCGCGACAGCGUGGGGAGCAAACAGG
rnacentral:rRNA from 1 species